rnacentral:snoRNA from 1 species
UGGACUAAUGAUGAGAAUGUGUCAUGAACCAAAGUUUAUAAUUAAUCUAAUUCUGUUCAAACAAGCAGAGAAAACUGACCUUA